rnacentral:rRNA from 1 species
GACAGAGGGUGCUAUCGUUGUUCGGAAUUACUGGGCGUAAAGCGCACGUAGGCGGCUUUGUAAGUUAGAGGUGAAAGCCCAGGGCUCAACCCUGGAAUUGCCUUUAAGACUGCAUCGCUAGAAUUGUGGAGAGGUAAGUGGAAUUCCGAGUGUAGAGGUGAAAUUCGUAGAUAUUCGGAAGAACACCAGUGGCGAAGGCGACUUACUGGACACAUAUUGACGCUGAGGUGCGAAAGCGUGGGGAGCAAACAGG